UGUGUAUGACGCUGGUUCCGCCAUUUCUUCAUGUGCGUUAUUGAAUAAAGACCACAUUUAAUACCACCUUUGUGACCAUACAUGUAACUACAGCUGUACCAUGCAAUCCAAAUUGGAUCACUGUCGAGGCAUCUGCCUAAUGCUUUGUGACACCAUUUGCUUACAUCUGUGCUAAAUAUAUCCUCUGUGCACUACUCAAAUCCUCUGUGAUGCCAGCUCAUGUGUAACGUGUAAUACUGCUGUACAUUCGAAGCUUUUAUAUAAAAAGUUGAACUUUUCUCUGUCUUACGUCACGCUUCUUACUGGAGCCCCGUAGUGGAUGAGCAUUCCACCCACCUACCUUCAUAAUACUGAAUACAGUCCCCUAUGUUUCCCCUUUGUCGAAGUCUGUUCCCCCAUGUUUCCCCUUUGUCGAAGUCUGUUUCCCUUAUGUUUCCCCUUUGUCGAAGUCUGUUUCCCUUAUGUUUCCCCUUUGUCGAAGUCUGUUUCCCCUAUGUUUCCCUUUGUUGAAGUUUCCCCUUUGUUGAAGUCUGUUUCCCUUAUGUUUCCCCUUUGUCGAAGUCUGUUUCCUCUUUGUCGAAGUCUGUUUCCCCUCUGUUGAAGUCUGUUUCCCCUACGUUUCCCCUUUGUUGAAGUCUGUUUCCCCUACGUUUCCCCUUUGUCGAAGUCUGUUUCCCCUUUGUCGAAGUCUGUUUCCCGUUUCCCUUUGUCGAAGUCUGUUUCCCGUUUCCCAUUUGUUAAAGUCUGUUUCCCUUUGUUGAAGUCUGUUUCCCCUAUGUUUCUCCUUUGUCGAAGUCUGUUUCCCCUAUGUUUCCCCUUUGUUGAAGUCUGUUUCCCCUUUGUCGAAGUCUGUUUCCCCUUUGUUGAAGUCUGUUUCCCCAAUGUCGAAGUCUGUUUCCCGUUUCCCUUUGUCGAAGUCUGUUUCACGUUUCCCCUUUGUUAAAGUCUGUUUCCCCUUUGUUGAAGUCUGUUUCCCCUAUGUUUCUCCUUUGUCGAAGUCUGUUUCCCCUUUGUUGAAGUCUGUUUCCCCUAUGUUUCCCCUUUGUUGAAGUCUGUUUCCCCUAUGUUUCCCUUUGUCAAAGUCUGUUUCCCCUUUGUCGAAGUCUGUUUCCCCUUUGUCGAAGUCUGUUCCCCCAUGUUUCCCUUUGUCAAAGUCUGUUUCCCCUUUGUUGAAGUCUGUUUCCCCUAUGUUUCCCCUUUGUCGAAGUCUGUUUUCCCUUUGUCGUAGUCUGUUUCCCCUAUGUUGUAGUCUGUUUUCCCUUUGUCGAAGUCUGUUUCCCCUUUGUCAAAAUCUGUUCCCCCAUGUUUCCCCUUUGUCAAAGUCUGUUCCCCCAUGUUUCCCCUUUGUUAAAGUCUUUUCCCCCUAUGUUUUAUGUUUUACAGCGCUACGGGGAACACUAAACGGGGAAACAUGGGGUUUGUGUAGACUUCGACACAACAGUUUACUUAACACUUUGUUAAGCGUUUAUUUUUUAUAUUAAUGUUUAAACACUCACCUAUCCCAACACUGUUUAGAAUAGCUUGAUAGAUACGGACUCUUAUUCAAAGCUAAAUGCUAAACAAUUCCCAUAUGCUGAUGUGAUUAAUCAUUUUGCUCUUUCAUUUCUCCCUGUGUCCAUCUCUCAACAGCAGCCCACCCAACAAGCAUGGCACAGUCAUCAACUGUAAAUAGGAGUGCUGUGUAAAUGUUAUGUUCAUUGGUUAUAUUGAAAAUGAAGUUUAUAUGCAAUUAUCCUGUAAGUAUUUUUAAUGUUAUAUUUUGCAUGAAGGUAAGGGUAAUUACAUUCUCAUGGCUAUUAAUGAACAAUGUUGUGAAGCAUUCUGUAAAAACUUGUAACUUAAUUAGUUUGUCCUGAGUAAAAUGCCUAUGUACACCUUUAACAUUAAAAUAUUAAGAACAUUUUUUAAUCUUGCAUUUUUUUUUAUUUGUAUUUACACAUUUGGGAAUAAAAUGUUACUGGGGGGGAAGGAAAAUACUAAUAAAAAGCUUCCAUAGUGGCUCAAAGCAUAAUCUAAAAACAAGGUUGGAAGCAGUUGCUUGCAAACAUACAUUUAAUAAAGCUCCAUUAGUGCCAUAGUACAUAAGCACAUAGGGAGCAAUGACAGACAAAAAACUAUACAUACAUGCAGAUACGCAAUGCUGCGUGAGGAAGCGCGCACAGCUUGAAACGUGUUUCAUACCUGCAUCUAUGUACAGCUUUUUUGUCUGUCAUUGCUCCCUGUGUAUGUUUGCAAGCAAUUGCUUCCAAUCUUGUUUUUUGAUUCUGGUAAUAAAAUGUAAAACACGCAUCAGCUACAUAUAUUUACAUACAAUUCUCAUUGCAGUUUACAAUUUCAGUCCAUUUUGCAUUGUAAGAAUUGUUUUUAUUUACAACAGGAAUUGCUUAUAUCAGUUUAAUAGGUUGUCACAACCGUCCACAUGUACCUAAAACUAUUUACAUGUUAUAAAAUUCUGCCUGAAGUUUUACAACUUAAUAAAGACAUCCAUGUAGAUGUUAUGAUAGAAAUUAUCCAGCUUCUAUCAAAAAAAUUAUCUUAACUGUGAAGUCAGUGUAGGUAUCUGUAAUGAAAUCACACCACUGAAGUCCACUUAAGGCCAGUUGGCCUUGAACCUGAUAAUAGUACAUGUGGCUCUAAUUAAGGCAGGUUUGACCUUUAACUGUGAUCAGGUGUUUAACUUGUGCAACAUUUUCAACAUCGCAACUCUUUACCUCAGUCAGCCCAAAUGGCGGUGUUUCUCUCUGGUUGAAAACUUAAGCUUCAGGGCUGGCUGCAAGGUGAGGUGCAUCAGGGUGGAUGAUGAUUCCACGUUGUGUCACAGAGACAUCACAAAAAUCUGAAUAUUGCCUCAGUAUCUCAGGUUCCAGAUCCAACCCUCUAUUCAUAGCACCUGUCUAACGAUUUCCUCUCAGAAUGCGAGCUGCCAAGGCUUUGGCGGAGACUCCCCGCGAACAUGGCAUAUUUCACGGAAUCUGCUGGAUGUAAUUCGGGGUUUGCGUACCUGGGUCCACAGCUGGCAUUUUGACUGCAGUCAGGUUUCUGCCUCAAUAGCAGCAGAGAUCUCCCGAGACACCUUUAGGCUCUCCAGUUGGCAUUGUUGCUUGUAGUUGGGCUCGAAAUCUAUUGGAAAUUUAAAGUUGUAACAGGCAACUGAGGAAACUCAGGUGCACCAGAGUUUUUAAUAAUAUCUCUACUUAUUUCAGGAGGGCACUGGUAAGAAUUUAAAUUACUGGUAGUAAUUUAGAGUCCACCAAAUGAAGACUUUCAAGUCCGUGCAGCAAUCUGCAUAUCCCCGGUUGUAGACGGAUAUCUUUCAGUUUCUCCCUGCUGGCCAUGACAUGAGGAUCCAGAAGCGGCCCUGACAUAAAAGUCAGUGCCUAGCAAAAUCAUUGACAUCAGACUGAAAAACACACUGAACCAGAGUGGAACUUCGUGGGAUACUGCAAAGUCUCUGCAAAUGCAGCAGAACACAACAAAAAGAAAACGUAACUCUCUAA